rnacentral:ncRNA from 1 species
ACACCAUCCAGAGCGACCGAGAGACCUGGCUCUACGACGUCGCAGCAACCCCCCGAACCAUUCGGGAGCGGGUGCUACCGCCGGGAACGAUGGAGG